AUGGGAGCUGGAGAUCCUGACGCGACGGAUCUACUUCGAGGCUACCGAAUCAGAGCGCACCGGGAUGCCGAGGUGCCCACCUACGCUGCUGAUAGAGAUGAUGAAUUAGGCAAAGCAGGAGGUGAGAUCCGAAGAUCCGAGACGCAAGGGGAGAUGGGAGUGCAUCCUGGGCAUUCUGCCCACCAACGCGCUACCACCUCCGGAUCCAUGGAUCCCGCAUCUUAUCUGUUGCCGGAGUUGGCUCGUUGUAUGCUUUCAUGUGGCACCCUAGAUGACCCCAAGAGGAGGGGUUGUGCAGUGGUAUUGGAUCCCUCACCUGCGAAUCUGGGUAGGCAAGAGGGGAGUGGUGCACUCAGAUCACUUGAUGUUGCUCCUCCUGGUGGCUAA
rnacentral:rRNA from 1 species